rnacentral:rRNA from 1 species
CUCUUUCUUUUCCCUACUCCAAGAUUGGAGAAACAAGAUCUAAGAGGGACAUAUGGAGAAUGUAGUCAGAAAUCCAUAAUAGAGUCCAACCACAACGACUGAAUUAAUUAUCCUCAUCGAGAAACAUAG